UACAUGCAAGUCGUACGAAGCGCUAGCCUGAUUGAUUGGUGCUUGCAUCAUGAUUUACAUUUGAGUGAGUGGCGAACUGGUGAGUAACACGUGGGAAACCUGCCCAGAAGCGGGGGAUAACACCUGGAAACAGAUGCUAAUACCGCAUAACAACUUGGACCGCAUGGUCCGAGUUUGAAAGAUGGCUUCGGCUAUCACUUUUGGAUGGUCCCGCGGCGUAUUAGCUAGAUGGUGAGGUAACGGCUCACCAUGGCAAUGAUACGUAGCCGACCUGAGAGGGUAAUCGGCCACAUUGGGACUGAGACACGGCCCAAACUCCUACGGGAGGCAGCAGUAGGGAAUCUUCCACAAUGGACGAAAGUCUGAUGGAGCAACGCCGCGUGAGUGAAGAAGGGUUUCGGCUCGUAAAACUCUGUUGUUAAAGAAGAACAUAUCUGAGAGUAACUGUUCAGGUAUUGACGGUAUUUAACCAGAAAGCCACGGCUAACUACGUGCCAGCAGCCGCGGUAAUACGUAGGUGGCAAGCGUUGUCCGGAUUUAUUGGGCGUAAAGCGAGCGCAGGCGGUUUUUUAAGUCUGAUGUGAAAGCCUUCGGCUCAACCGAAGAAGUGCAUCGGAAACUGGGAAACUUGAGUGCAGAAGAGGACAGUGGAACUCCAUGUGUAGCGGUGAAAUGCGUAGAUAUAUGGAAGAACACCAGUGGCGAAGGCGGCUGUCUGGUCUGUAACUGACGCUGAGGCUCGAAAGUAUG
rnacentral:rRNA from 2 species